GACGGGGGAUGCAAGCGUUAUCCGGAAUUAUUGGGCGUAAAGCGUCCGCAGGUGGACAUACAAGUCUGCUGUCAAAGUGCAGAGCUUAACUCUGUAAAGGCGGUGGAAACUGUAGGUCUUGAGUAUGGUAGGGGUAGAGGGAAUUCCCGGUGUAGCGGUGAAAUGCGUAGAUAUCAAGAGGAACACCAGUGGCGAAGGCGAGUCCCUGGACGAUACCUGACACUGAGGCACGAAAGCCAAGGGAGCAAACAGG
rnacentral:rRNA from 1 species